AUGAUCCAUGCUACUGUGAGGAAGAAAAUCCAAUAUGUUUUUCAGCAUAAAUUGAGUGAGGGAAAUGUGUACAAGAUGUCAUACUUUUUCGUGGGUCCUAACUCUGGUGCGCAUAGGGCUACAUCUCAUAGUUAGAAGUUGUUUUUUUUUUUUAAAUGAAGACGAAGGUGCACCCAUGUGAAGGACCCUUCAUACCUUUGUACUGUCUUUCUCUGAAGAAGAUCAUAGAUGCAUGCUCUGAGAGUUAUGAUGUUGAUUAUUUGGUUGAUGUUGUUGCAAUCAUUAUUGGGAUUUCUAAUCAGAGGGAGUAAAUUUGUGAUGGAAAUAUUACUAAGAUGAUUCUUCUGGAGCUUACUGAUGACAGUGGGAAAUGCAAGUGUGCAUUGUUUGGUGAUUAUGUGGACUCUUUGAUGAAGAUGAUGGGGAAAUACACAGUUGGAUUGCCUGCGGUUGUUGUUCAGUUUACUAAGGUUAAGAUGCUCCGAGAGAAAGCGUCUCUUCAAAAUGUAAUGAACUCAUCAAGGAUUUUGAUCAACCCUGAUAUACCAUAGGUUGUUUCCCUUAGGAAAAGGAUGGUUAAGCUUGGGCUAGAACCCUCUGGUUCUAUUGAAGGAUGAUUUCCUUAACAUGUUUCCAAAGAAGUCUAUUGAUCCGUUGAAGAAUAGGUGUUAUGAUUGAGUUUUUGUUGUGGCUGCUGUUAUAGAUAGAUUGGUUGAUGGAGAAGAGUGGUGGUAUUCUGCGCGUAGAUGUCAUCGAAGCGUGACCGCUGAUUCUGGGUCUUAUAAUUGCAAAGGAUGUGUUAGACAUGUCAUCCAUGUUGUUCCUAGGUUUAUCUCAUAUUCAUCGAGUAUUACAAAUCUUCUUUUAUUUUUAUGGUGAUCAUCAUCUUUACUGUGAGGGUUGUAUUAGGUACAAGGUGAAGCUCCGCGUCAGUGAUGCUACUGGAUAUGUUGUGUUUCUUCUGUUUGAUAAUGAUAUGAACUACCUUCUUA